UGUUCAAGGUUUUGGUUAAAACCAAAACCAAACCGAAAAUUUAACCAAACCGAAUAAAAAAACCGACAUUUGGUUUGGUUUGGUUUGGUUUGGUUUUAAAUUUUAAAAACCGAUAAUAUUUGGUUUGGUUAUGGUUAUAUUAAAAAAUAACCGAAUAAAUAACCGAACCAAACCGAUAAAUUAUAUACAUAAAUUUUAUAAUUAUUUAUAUGUAUAAUAUUAGUUUUUCAUAAAUAAUUAUAAAUAUUUUAUACCUUUCAAUCAUUAAUUUGAUUUUUGGUCUACUUAUUUCACACGAUUGUUUAAGGUCUAUGUUUUUAAGAAUAUGUCCAAGCCCAUGUCUUUAAGUCUUUUAACUCUUUAAGUGUUAAGUGUAAACCUACUAACAAAAGCUCACGUUAGAGUCUAAUGUCUUUAACUUAAAUUUUUAGCUUUUCUUUGUCAGCCAUUGGAUUUUAGGUUGUUUAUUUUUUUUUCCCGAAUUCAUACCUUUCUUUUUUCUUGUCUGAAUGGGUCCUAAACUUCUAAUAUUUUUCAUAUGAAAAGAGCAGAGGUUGUAGAUUUGGAGGUUCCUAUAGAAGAUACUUCAGUAACAUCAGCAUUUGCUGUAACUCAAGCACAUGGUAUGUGUAUUAAGAUGACAAAAAUGAUGCAGCCACUACUUAGUUAGUUUUUAGCUCUAUAUGUAAUAGUUUAGCAACUUUGGAUAACUUGAGUAUGAUACUAUCACUAAUAGUGAAAAUAUUUCUAUGAUGUAUGUUCCACCUUAAACGAUAAAUAAAAGUUAUCGUUUGGACAAAAAAAA